UUAAUGAUAUCGACAAGUGCCCCCGGUGCAAAUCUUGGUGGUAGUAGAAAAUAUUCAAAUCAAAACAUUGAAUAUGGAAGUGGGGAAAGGUUCCAUGUGAACAACACUUGGACAUGGGUUAGUCGAUCCUAAGAUAUGGGGAAGCCCUAUAACAAGGGUGCAUUCUGCAUGAUCAUCGAAAUGGAAUCAAGUUAAUAUUCAUGAAUGAAGACAUAGCGAUUGACAAAAAUGCUAGGAAAUCCAUAGACGUUGUCGAGGGCCCCAAGAAAAGUUAUCUUUUAUUUUUAACGACUUUCCUGCCAUGAAAUCAGUUCAAAUGGAGAUAGGGUCUAGCUGCUGGAAGAGCACCACACGUCUUGUAGUGUCUAGUGCCCCUCCACAACUAUUGAAAAUAUGGAGGACCAAGUAUUGUGCAUGCACGAUCGUACUCAUAACUGCAUUAGGUCUCCAAGUUUAACAACCUUUUUUCAAUAGAACAAUGUAGGUAAGGGAAGUGGAGUGCAACUUCAAGACUCUUUGGAGAUUAUUGAGUUAGGCCGACUUUGUUUGUUUUUGGGACUUCAAAUUUAUCAAACCUUUAUUUGUAUUCCCCUUUCUUAGCCUCUUUACACCCAAAAUCUCUUGCAAGAUUUUGUGAUGGAUAAUUGCAAGCCAAUGAGUACCCCUAUUUCUUCAAGGAUGAAGUUGAGAGUUGAGAGUUUUCUUUAUCUUAAAAAUUCUCAGCUAGAUAUCUACUUUGCAAUGAGUAUGUCUUCUCAAUACAUGUAGGAACCUUAGGGAGUUAGUAGCAUUCCACUCUUAGGGGCACCUCUCACAUGAGAAUUCUCGACUCAACGAACACUUAUAUAUGUAUCCUUGGUUUUUUCAAUGCCUAGUAGGUUAACGAUCUUGAUGGGAGAAGAUAUACCUCGGUCUAACUUUUUCCUCUUGGCCCUGGACCAAUUUGUUAGUGCUCUAAGAAGCAAUAGGUUGUGAGUCUCUUCUCCACUAAAUACAACUAUGCUAGUGUAGUUCAUGUUGGGAAGCAUAUUCCUUGGAUACAGAUGAUUCUUGAUCAACUAGGUCUUCCUCCAUGAAUUCAUUCCACCAUUUUGACAAUCAAAGUACCAUUGAGCUUAUUCAUAAUCUAAUGAAUCAUGAGAAGAAAAACCAUAUGGAGAUUUGGAUGCACUAUACUUUGCAACCUCAUGUUGAAGGACAACUUGUGCCAUUGUUUGUUCCUUUAGUAGAUCAACAAGUAGAUAUAUUCACCAAAUAUCUUCUAGAGCCCACCUUCACCAAUUUAAUGGCAUGCAUUAGUAUAGGAGCAAUGCCAUUAAGGGGGAAACCAUGAUGUACUAUAAUGUCUUCUCUUUGUGGCCCCCUUUUUCAGAUUAAGGGGGGUGCUGAUAUUAGGUGGUUAAUAUUGAGGUGACGCAACGUGUUGAGCUCUUGUAUUGAUGUCUUUAUGGACACUACACACGGGUAACUAACCCAUUUAUUGUGCUUUUCUAUUUUAUCUAAGGCUAACCUAGUCAACCUCUUGGGUUUAGCACCCCAACCCUAAAGAAUGUGUGUAUAUAUACAAUGCAUUCAUCAUUUCUAAUCAUCUCGUUCAAAUGAAUAUAUCAUUUAUUUGUUCCCUAAGAUCACCCCUAAAAAUUUCACUCUACUCAUGGUUAAUUGUUAUCAGUUAUGGUAAAACUCUUGUGAACACUAUGGUAUGAGUACAUCUCUUUUGUGAUUAAAUUAAGUGGUAUUUUAAAUAUACUAUUUUUACUUCCUAAAUUAGGUUUUGUUUAAGUUUUCAUCGAAUAUAUAAUAUAUCCUUUUGAUCUCAACAAAUAUAAGUAAUUGCCUCUGAUUUGUGCACUUGAACAAGGGAUCAUUCUUGACUUUGUGUAAUUUAUAAACUUAGUUAAAAAACAAUUCUUCACUUGCACCACAACAACAACCAAUUAUUUCUCUAUUAGUAUAACAUUUUAUAAAAAUACAACUCAUAAUCAUGUUCAUGUAAAUCCUUGAUUUUCACUAUUCACACAUGAUUACACUAUGCUCACGACAAUUUUUCAAUAUUUCUAACCCUACUAGAUCAUGGAAAUUUUUUUUAAGUGUUAUGGACUUUCAUAACUUCUCCUUCAUGUGUAUUCUUGGGAAUCCAACUAUUUAAUUAAAAAAAAACAUUGUGAUGGUCCCUGUGGAUGCUGACAGAAUGUGAUUUUUUCCCAUUGCUUUGAAUGUCAAAGUGAAGAAAUUCAGCCAAGAGUGGGUAAAAAAAGGGAGUAACGAUGACUCUAUUAAGGUAUCGGAAUUCCUCUUCAUCUAAUUAUUGACGUGAAUGAAUGGAUUAAUGAGAUUCACACUCUCCCUAUAUACUAUCUAGUGAAACCACAACCAAGGGAACAAUAUUGAAAAAAUAGU
rfam:Picea glauca, whole genome shotgun sequence.